rnacentral:snRNA from 1 species
AUACCUUUCUCGGCCUUUUGGCUAAGAUCAAGUGUAGUAUCUGUUCUUAUCAGUUUAAUAUCUGAUACGUGGGCCAUCGGUCCACAUGAUAUUAAAUUUAUUUUUUUAGGGGGAAGAUCUAUCUAAGUAGCUUGCUACUGGGUUCUUCAGGCGUCGCCCAGGCGUUGCACUAUUGCUCAGGCCUGGCGCACCCCAC